rnacentral:rRNA from 1 species
ACGGAGGAUGCAAGCGUUAUCCGGAUUCAUUGGGUUUAAAGGGUGCGUAGGCGGAUAUUUAAGUCAGUUGUGAAAUCCCGCGGCUUAACCGCAGAAUUGCCAUUGAUACUGAUAGACUUGAGUAUGGUUAAGGUAGGCGGAAUGUGUAGUGUAGCGGUGAAAUGCUUAGAUAUUACGAAGAACACCAAUGGCGAAGGCAGCUUACUGGGCCGACACUGACGCUGAGGCGCGAAAGCGUGGGGAUCAAACAG